CCUACGGGGGGCAGCAGUGGGGAAUAUUGCACAAUGGGGGAAACCCUGAUGCAGCGACGCCGCGUGAGUGAAGAAGUAAUUCGUUAUGUAAAGCUCUAUCAGCAGGGAAGAAAAUGACGGUACCUGAGCAAGAAGCCCCGGCCAACUACGUGCCAGCAGCCGCGGUAAUACGCAGGGGGCACGCGUUAUCCGGAUUUACUGGGUGUAAAGGGAGCGUAGACGGCAGUGCAAGUCAGGAGUGAAAGGCGGGGGCUCAACCCCCGGACUGCCCUGGAAACUGGACGGCUGGAGUGCGUGAGAGGUAAGUGGAAUUCCUGGUGUAGCGGUGAAAUGCGUAGAUAUUAGGAGGAACACCAGUGGCGAAGGCGACUUUCUGGACUGUAACUGACGUUGAGGCGCGAAAGCGUGGGUAGCAAACAGGAUUAGAUACCCGGGUAGUC
rnacentral:rRNA from 1 species